rnacentral:rRNA from 1 species
GAUGAACGCUGGCGGCGUGCCUAAUACAUGCAAGUCGAGCGAACAGAUAAGGAGCUUGCUCCUUUGACGUUAGCGGCGGACGGGUGAGUAACACGUGGGCAACCUACCUAUAAGACUGGAAUAACUCCGGGAAACCGGGGCUAAUGCCGGAUAACAUUUAGAACCGCAUGGUUCUAAAGUGAAAGAUGGUUUUACUAUCACUUAUAGAUGGACCCGCGCCGUAUUAGCUAGUUGGUAAGGUAACGGCUUACCAAGGCAACGAUACGUAGCCGACCUGAGAGGGUGAUCGGCCACACUGGAACUGAGACACGGACCAGACUCCUACGGGAGGCAGCAGUAGGGAAUCUUCCGCAAUGGGCGAAAGCCUGACGGAGCAACGCCGCGUGAGUGAUGAAGGUCUUCGGAUCGUAAAACUCUGUUAUUAGGGAAGAACAAAUGUGUAAGUAACUGUGCACGUCUUGACGGUACCUAAUCAGAAAGCCACGGCUAACUACGUG